rnacentral:rRNA from 1 species
AGGGUUUGAUCAUGGCUCAGAACGUACGCUGGCGGCACGCCUAACACAUGCAAGUCGAACGAAGUAGCAAUACUUAGUGGCAGACGGGUGAGUAACAUGUAGGUAUCUACCCUUUGGCCUGGAAUAACACGAGGAAACUUGUGCUAAUACCGGAUAAGUCUUUACGGAGAAAGCUUUAUGCACCAUUGGAUGAGCCUGCACUUGAUUAGUUUGUUGGUGGGGUAAUGGCCUACCAAGACUUUGAUCAAUAGCUGAUUUGAGAGGAUGAUCAGCCACAUUGGGACUGAGACACGGCCCAAACUCCUACGGGAGGCAGCAGUGGGGAAUCUUGCACAAUGGAGGAAACUCUGAUGCAGCGAUGCCGCGUGAGUGAAGAAGGCCCUUGGGUUGUAAAGCUCUUUCGUCGGGGAAGAAAAUGACUGUACCCGAAUAAGAAGGUCCGGCUAACUUCGUGCCAGCAGCCGCGGUAAUACGAAGGGACCUAGCGUAGUUCGGAAUUACUGGGCUUAAAGAGUUCGUAGGUGGUUGAAAAAGUUGGUGGUGAAAUCCCAGAGCUUAACUCUGGAACUGCCAUCAAAACUUUUCAGCUAGAGUUUGAUAGAGGAAAGCAGAAUUUCUAGUGUAGAGGUGAAAUUCGUAGAUAUUAGAAAGAAUACCAAUUGCGAAGGCAGCUUUCUGGAUCAUUACUGACACUGAGGAACGAAAGCAUGGGUAGCGAAGAGGAUUAGAUACCCUCGUAGUCCAUGCCGUAAACGAUGUGUGUUAGACGUUGGAAAUUUAUUUUCAGUGUCGCAGCAAAAGCGAUAAACACACCGCCUGGGGAGUACGACCGCAAGGUUAAAACUCAAAUGAAUUGACGGGGACCCGCACAAGUAGUGGAGCAUGUGGUUUAAUUCGAAGAUACGCGCAGAACCUUACCAACACUUGACAUGUUCGUCGCGACUUUAAGAGAUUAAAGUUUUCGGUUCGGCCGGACGAAACACAGGUGCUGCAUGGCUGUCGUCAGCUCGUGUCGUGAGAUGUUGGGUUAAGUCCCGCAACGAGCGCAACCCUCACUUUUAGUUGCCAUCAUUAAGUUGGGCACUCUGAAAGAACUGCCAGUGAUAAGCUGGAGGAAGGUGGGGAUGACGUCAAGUCCUCAUGGCCCUUACGUGUUGGGCUACACACGUGCUACAAUGGUAUCUACAACAGGAAGCAAAACAGCGAUGUUAAGCAAAUCCUUAAAAGAUACCUCAGUUCGGAUUGCACUCUGCAACUCGAGUGCAUGAAGCUGGAAUUACUAGUAAUCGUGGAUCAGCGUGCCACGGUGAAUGCGUUCCCGGGUCUUGUACACACCGCCCGUCACACCAUGGGAGUUGGUUCUACCUUAAGGCAAGGUUUAAUACCCUUGACCACGGUAUAGUCAGCGACUGGGGUGAAGUCGUAACAAGGUAACCGUA